rnacentral:rRNA from 1 species
UACGUAGGGAGCAAGCGUUGUCCGGAAUCAUUGGGCGUAAAGCGCGCGUAGGUGGCUUCGUAAGUCCGUUGUGAAAGUCAAAGGCUCAACCUUUGAAUGCCGAUGGAUACUGCGGAGCUAGAGUACGGAAGAGGCGAGUGGAAUUCCUGGUGUAGCGGUGGAAUGCGCAGAUAUCAGGAGGAAUACCGGUGGCGAAGGCGGCUACCUGGUCCAAUAUUGACGCUGAGGAACGAAAGUGCGGGGAUCAAACAGG